UCUUAUGCCUGCCUGAAAGACAGGGUGCAGAUCUUCACAGAAUGGGGGAAGGCCAGAGAUUUGGACUCCAAAGACCACAGCUUGGAUUCUGAGCUGUCACUUACCAGCUAAAAGGGAAUCUUGGCCAAGUUACAGAAGCCCCCUGAGUCUCAACUACCUCAUCUAUAAAAGCUUCUCAUCAGGCCCACCAUCUAUUCAACCAUCAGUUUAAGCUCUAAGAAUGAGACACCAUCCACACGAAAAUAAUCUUCCACAGACUCUCCCAGCAUGUCUGCUGUAGGAAGGGGUGAUCCUACAACCUUCCUAUCCUGGGAGGAGAGACAACACCCCCGCCUUCCAUUCUGGCCUGCCCCCUCCUCUGGCGGCAGCAGUCUCAGUGUGAACCUUAAGUCAGAUUCUCACCCUGUUGCUGCCGUCUUUAGCUUCUGAGUGAUGGGGGGCCAUGGAGCAGUCCUGGGUCUAGUGGUCUGAGAAGAGAAGAAAGCCUGCCCAGGCAGACCGCUG